GAUGAACGCUGGCGGCGUGCCUAACACGCGCAAGUCGAGCGAUCUUCUUCGGAAGAGAGCGGCGGACGGGUGAGUAACGCGUGGGUAACCUGCCUCAUACACAUGGAUAACAUACCGAAAGGUAUGCUAAUACAAGAUGAUAUAAGAGAUUCGCAUGGAUUUCUUAUCAAAGCUCCGGCGGUAUGAGAUGGACCCGCGUCUGAUUAGCCAGUUGGUAAGGUAACGGCUUACCAAGGCGACGAUCAGUAGCCGACCUGAGAGGGUGAUCGGCCACAUUGGAACUGAGACACGGUCCAAACUCCUACGGGAGGCAGCAGUGGGGAAUAUUGCACAAUGGGCGAAAGCCUGAUGCAGCAACGCCGCGUGAGCGAUGAAGGCCUUCGGGUCGUAAAGCUCUGUCCUCAAGGAAGAUAAUGACGGUACUUGAGGAGGAAGCCCCGGCUAACUACGUGCCAGCAGCCGCCGUAACAC
rnacentral:rRNA from 1 species